GGAAAAUCAAAUCGAUUCGAUUCGCACUGCAGCAACAACAGCAUCCACAAUGGACAACGCACAUUUGCCUUUGACCAGGCGCAGAUUGUGCAUGGGAAUCCCCCGGGCGAAUCGCCCAAAAUGGAAACCCACAUCCAUUGGCCAGCAUACAAGCCGUAUUUCAGACUCAAAGUCGUUUAUCUUGCCGCCGUUUGGGUACGUUUCUGAUCUCGGUUUUGCAGUUGGGCUAAUGUAAGUCGCACAUAAAUUGAAUAAAGAACGAGUGUAGGUGGCAAUAAAAGCCAGGCCAACACAGUUAGGUUAAAUUAAGCUUCUUCUUAACCUGCACUUGAGUGCCAGAAUUCAAUUACAGUCUCGUCGUGUUUAGAAGCGGCGAUUAAGGAAAGGUACUAAUAGCCUGAUUAAAUCUUUAAAAUUCCGAAACGUUUCAGCGUAUUGUUGUACUUUCUCAACUAUUUUUAUACCAUUUUUUUGAUAACUAUGAUCGUUGGAUUUUGACAGGACAUGUUCUUGAAAACUCAGCAUAACAACGAGCUAAAUAACAUGUCAAGGCACUGAAAUAAUUGGCUCUACACACUACUUCAGUUUUUCCUAGUGAUGGACAAACUUUCAGCAAUGGCAUUUUAUUUUCCACUUUACAAUUGCUUUAUUUGAACAGAGUGACUCCACCACCACUCCAAUUUUCCAACUAAUCCAAAUCCAUGGCCACUCAAACAAAGCAGCAACAACGAAACGCUUGUCAUUAACAAACAAUGCAGUACCUGUUUAAUUUUUAUUGUGAAACUUGGCUCGACGAGAGCUUAACUUUUCCCGAUGCAACGCAGCUUAGAUAGCUAUAUACACCCACUCAGCAACGAUAAACCCACUCGACGCCGGGGGACAUUGGAUAAUGUCAAUGGCCGGGGAUCCGAGGUGGGACCGAGCAGUUCCACGAUAUGUUUAAUGGCAGUAGGAAUGGAAAAAGUUUUACGUAUAGCAAAGCAAUUCAAUUGAAAAUAAUUAGAAACGUAGCCACAUGGCGAAACUUCUUAAUUACCCGGCUAUUGUGCGUCUACACUGAAAUAAAUAUCUACUGAAUGACUUAGUUAGUGGCGUAAAUUAGG
ensembl:ncRNA lncRNA:CR44651 long non-coding RNA:CR44651